GUAAAUCUUGCUUGUCAAUUAUUAUAUUUGGGAGAUUCACCAAUCGCUCAAAUGCAGGAGAGCACAGGAAUCAUGCAGCCAGCCAACCAUGUAGCAAAAGUAGCGUCCACACUGAACCGGAAAAAACUGAAGUAGGCCAAAGGAAGGGACGUGUAUGACAUUUUCUGAAACCUUUAAACAAUCCAAGACCGGAAAUACCACAUUAUCAACAGCACAAAUGGCAUCGAUGGCGACACAUUUUUCCGCCGCCCUAUUCCUUCUUCCCAUUGGGCUGCGCCGCCUCUUCUGCUCGUCUUCUCUCUACAUCAAGAACCCAUCUUUGUUCAGAUCCAAAACGUGGUAUCUCUCUGAGACCAAAUGGAAGAAUCUCGAUUUAUAUAUCCUCACUAUAGCCCUCCCAAUUGCUUCUUUCUCUGAAAUCUUCCUUUUCUUGUCUUCUAACGGUCACCCCGCUUAUCGUUUCUCCUUCACGCAUCAAUCCCUGGUUCUUUUCCUUUAUUGGGCGUUGAUCAUUUUAUUUCUUUUGCGAGAUACCAUUGACCCAUUAACCCUUAAUGAUAAUUUCUUGUUUAUAUUAACGGGGAUUGUGUUUUUCAUGGAGUAUACAGUUAUUGGGAACGGGAUUUCUGGUCACGUUGGUGGGGUUUUUUACGGUUUAUGUGGUGAUUUGACCAUUAUUUGUGGUUGCUGCUGUUUGUAUUUGGCUAUUAGGCCUACUGCCUUUUUCAUGGAGUUUUGUUUUUGUUGUGGGUUGGUUUUAAGGGGGACUUGGUUUUUGCAAGCUGGUUUGUGCUUGUAUACUGAGGUUUUUGCGUUCAAGGGUUGUCAUAAAAUAAUGGUUUCGCCAGAAAGUGAAAAUGCUGAGUUGAAGUGUGAUCUUGAAGAGGAUGGAUUGAGGGGUGUGGCAUUGGUUAAUUUGUUAUUUAUUGGGCAUGCAAUUGGGGUCUUGCUUGUGAGCUUUGGGGUGUUUGGGCUGUUGUCAAGUCAUAGGGAUUCAAGGCAUUGUGAGGCAAGUGGUCCAUUACUGACAGAACUCCAUUCAGACAGUGCUUUGAUGCGCACACUUCCUGAAUUUGAGCUGGAAUAGAGCGCUUGUAUGGCUUUUUUGCCUUUCAUCUCUCUCGUACAAUUUUGCUUUAAUCAACAUUUAACAAUUUUCUUUUCUUGUAAGUGUAUGCCUUUUUUUUUCCCCUAUCCUCUGACAUAUUGGUUGUUUGCACAAAGAAAAUCGUUAAGUAGCUUGUCUUUUAAAUCAUGAAACUACUCUUAUAUACGUUAGUUUAUGGUAAAGUUUAUGAAUUAUUUUCUGAGGUUAUUAAGGCUGGCAACAUCGUUAGUGUUAUUAAACUGGUAGAGGUGGAUUAAUUUUCUGUCUUAUUUAUGUCUUUUGACAAGUGGUUAAGCUCAUAAUGUUAAUGCCACAAAGAAGUCUAGUGCAAAAAAAUUACAUUUUGCUGAAAAUGCUCGUAUUUAUUUAGCUUAAUAUGACACUGAUGCUGUGCAACAUAAUGAAAUGGAAGUUCUAUCAUUUUUUGCUCUGUGCUAAAAGCAAGCAGCACACAUAUUUCUGAAGUUAAACGAAAAACUCUUUUUUUUUUUUUUUUCCUUCAAUUAUGUUUGAUUGAAAGAAAAUGUGAUCAUAGUUUGAAUAUUACCUUAGAUAGAAUGCACCCAUGACCCAUCGAAGCAAUUUGUGCUCAUAUAGCAUCGUGUUUGAAUCAGAGGGUUCAAAAUCAAUUACAUCCAGGAAAGAAUUUGCUAGUGGAUUGACAUUCACUGAUAUAAAAUGUGAAAUGCAGGCAUUUGAAUUGUGAGUUUUUAGCUCAAAUUGUAUAAGUAGAGAUUUUAGUUUGCAAAAGAGGGGGAAAAAAGAGACAGGUUUUGACCUAAUUUUAGAGUGUACUUCAAAUUACACCAAUAUAAAAAAAAAAAAUUCAGUUUACAUGGCAUAGACUAUUUCUGAAUGAAGCUGGAAAGAAAUGCACACAGAAGUUGCAUUUGGCUAAUAUCUAUAGCAGAAGAGGAGUGUUCAGAAUGAAGGAAAAUGAAUAUCCUCUUACAGCUUUUGUCUUACUCUUGGUAACUUUGUUCCAGAAUUUAGAAUGGCUAAAUGCCUCAACUUUUUGGUCCUUUAUUUGGAAUUACGUUUUGCUUCAUGUUAUAGUUAUGAAGAGAGAAUGUUGUCUGAUCCUACGAAAUCAAAUGGAUGAUCUUAGCCUCAGAUUCAUCAUUCAUCAGACCUUAAGAGAAUGAAUUGUAAUUGAUCACAAAAAGCCCCAAAACUCUUAGUAGAGUUUUUGUUCCACAACACAGUGAUCCAUUUUUCACCUAAUAGCUAGGAUGUUAAGUUUCACCUCACAGUUAUUGUCAUAUUUUGAUAAAAUGGGUCAUAAUGGUGUCUCAAUUCAAUUCUUUUCUUUGAAUUUUUUUUCCUAUCUCGUGUGCAGAUUAGUAAAUUUGGAGGGGUUUGGAUUUUGAGUUCAAGUUACUUGGAUGUGGUUCAAAAGUAAGGGUUUUUUGUGGUGCUUAAUUUGAAUCCACAGAUAAAGAAAAGCCUUGUAUAUUUAUAGAAUAAGGUUUCAUUGUUUUGCUACAGAGAUUAUCCAUUUCUCAUUUUCUAUACCUCGUCAGCUCUUCCUUUCAAUCCUAAAUCUUUGUAUUUGGGCCAUUUAUGUUCAAUCUGCCAACAAUAUGCUAGUAUAAUACUUUUGUUAAACAAUGAGUUGCUUGAAUAAUGACUUAAUUUUUGGACUCCUAUGAACAACUUUCGGCCAAAAAUUAAUGCUUCAUACAUUUUAAUACUGUCAUAGGCAUCUCAUUGAUCUAUAUCUCUCUCUCUCUGACAUACACACAGAUGUACACAAGUGCAGAAUUUUCUUAGUAACCUUCACAUGAACAUGAAUGCAAAUUUAAUAUUUCUUGAAAUUUUCAGCAGAUGUGAGUUGGCUGGUUGUUGAUAGAUGAAGGUAAAGUUAUGCUUUUCUGCUAAUUUAUGUAUCUUAAUGUUCUACUUGUCUUUCAUUUAAUAAACCACUUGUAAGAAAUAAUUGAAGAUACUAUCUGUUGUAUAAUUGACCAAAAUCAGAUUGGUAACAUUGGAACUCCUCUGACAGUUAGACAUCCUAUUUUCAAGGUUUAUCAUGGGGUUUUUCUUUUCUCGAACAUAUUAUUACAGAAUUCACACUUACCCGUGUUGUUUUUCUAUUUCCUGUUUGUGCAUUAGUUGAUAUUAACUGUAAACUUCUUAAUUUGUAAAAGUUAUCAAUAUGACUAGCUAAUAUUUUAAUGUGAUGUGUCUGAUGCCUAAUGGCUCCUGAAAUUACUUUGCUGUCAUUUUCUCAGUUUAAGUAGGCUUGACCAACAUACAGUUUUGCAUGUAUUGCUAUUAGAAAAGGCUUGUAGUAACAAUCAUCGAAAACAUUAAAGUCCACGAGUGGCACCAUAUUGCAUGUCUUAAUUGCAAAUAACCUAUUAGAUAUAGGAUAUAAAUUAAUCUAUUUUAGUAUAUCUCAUUGGAGAAGAUAACUUUGGGAUUGUCAACCAACGUCUCCGAAAACGCCCAAAUCCAUGGAUUUUAAUUCGAAAACGAAUCCGCUUCAUCCUUUUGGUGAACUCACCACAUCUUUGUUUAAGCAUUGCAGAUUUUGGGAACCUUACCAGUUUUCUAACAUAUCUACAUCCUGCAUUUUCUGUAAGGAAAACAAAAUAUGAAUAAAACCAAAAUGUAAAGCAAAACAUAUUUCUAUUUUCUUGUUUUAAUUAUCAAUCUGCUGGAAAUGUUAUGCUGAUGAGACUGAUAUACUAACAAGUUAUUGAAUUCUAAAACAUCUUGUUACAAUAAGUUCUCUGAACAUAUGGAUGAUGGAAUGACUGUUCAGUGGAUUAAUUAUCAGUUCUGUAUCCAUCAAUGUGGAAACAACACUUGGUGCUGCCAGAAAAGAGAGUUUGUCAUUUUUAUUUUCUUCAAGUUUUAAAAAUUUUAAAAAGAUGAAAGCAUAAGCGUACCUUUAACCUUUUUAACAUCUCCUUCUUCUUCUUGAUUUUCCUUGUGCAGGACCUGCAAGACGCAGCAAGAUAAUUAGUCUUGUUGUCUUGUUAGCUCAUGCUCUUGUUGAAGAUUCCUCGAGACAGGGCAACAGCAUACCAAAAGAAACAAACCCUCCAUUGGUGCUCAAAUCUUCUAAAGGCUCUCCUCUUAAUUCUGGUGGAGGAAUGGGUGACCAGGUGCAAGGUGGUGCUUUGGACCAUUUUUCUGAACUUCCCACAUCCAUAAGUUCCU